UGGAGUGACUGGUUUUUCAGCGACACAUUAAUCCUGUUUCCUGCUCGGCUCCAGCGACUCCUUUCACUUUGACAGCGGCAGUUUGGAUAGUUGUGUCGGAGUCUGGGGUCUUUAUCUGUGAGUGGAGAAACUCACUGAUCAACAGCACAGGAUUUGCAGUCUGGAGAUGUUGCUCAGAGGGACGAAGAAACGCAUGAAGAAACGCACCACAAAGAAGCUCUGAACGUGAAAUCCUUGAAGAGAUUUUCUCUUAUCUUUGUUUGCACUUGAAAGUUUUUCAAGAAGCAGCACUCUUUUCCAGUGGUCACUGAAAUAUUUCUUUGAGAGUAAUGAGUGAUGGCUCUUCAGGAGAUCAGUGUGAUCUUUACACACAGACCCUCGGCUUUCUCUGCUGCUGUGCUGCUUCUAACACUCGUCCUCUGCAGAGAAUCAAAGCCUGAGAAGACAGAAACAAUUCAGCAACCUGGAAAUGUUCAGACGCCGGAUCAGAGUGAAGAUACCAAAGAAGCAGGAAUUUCUUUCUCAGGCCGGCUAGCAAUCGUCUGGGCUGUAUUCAUCUGUAUCUCUCUGAUCUCAUGGGGAUUUAUGCUUUAUCAGAAUUGCAAAGAACCCACCGCCUCAAGCAAAACCAGGAAGUUAAUGAGGAAGAAGCUCUCAGCAGGUGAAACUUCUAGCUCAGACUUAUGACGACAACAACAGCUGGAAGUUGCAGAUCUCAGACUGUGAAUCGAAACUCUUUAUAACACAUCAUGGCAAUAAACCAGAUUUGAAGUCUUCAGUUUGAUGAUGUUCAGUAAGUUGGCGUUGAGAACAAACAGAGGGGGAAAACACCCAACAUAAAAAAGAGAGAAAAGAUUUGAAUUCAGGGCUUCUGUCCAAUAUUGAUAUCCUUCAACUCAUUUGAAAUAUAAAUAUCAUGAGCUGUUAAAAAACCCAGAAUGAUUUGAAUUAAAGUUAAAGGCAAGUAGAAAACAAUAUUAACGGGAUGGGGCUUCAUGUUUUGUUUAAUAAAGUCUUGUUAUCAUUUUCAUUCACA